rnacentral:lncRNA from 1 species
ACUUGUCAUUGUCUCUGGCUUUUCCAGUGCCUUUAGAGAAGGUCUCUAAGAUCUGAGCGACGGCGACGAGCUCCGGUCCGUUAGAGAAGUUAGAGGUCUCUGCGUCCAUGUCGGUGAGCUCUGUUCAGUUUAGAGGGACGGGAAGAGUAGCCAUCCUCUUCUGUCUUCUGUGGGGUUUAUAUGACGCCGACCGUGGGAAGGUGGCAGGUCUGACCGGGGGUCCGAUCCCCGACCCUAACCUUGUUUUUGUUUUGUUUUGUUUUGUUUUUUCGUAUUCUCUGGCACCAAUCUCCAUCGCUGCCAGAGGCAUCAAACCAAAAUCAUCUCACACGCCAAAGAACUCGGAGCCGUUCUCACCUUAUCCAACGUGAAAAAUCCUCCAAGCUCCUCCAAGUUUAUCCCACCAGAAGGAUUUCUCCAACAAAAAAAAAACAUCUAACCUGGGGGGGGGGGACUUAUUUCACCACCACUCUCACGUCCCUCAACAAGACCCCACACACACACACGCACACACACACACACCUUCUCCACUUUAUCCAACAUGAAAAAUCCUCCAACCUGCAAAGAUUCCUCCAGCGUGGUGGGAAAAAAUCAUCUAACCUGGGUUUGUCCAACGUCAAAAAUCCUCCAAACGGCAGUGUAAUCCCACCAGAGGAUUCCUCCAACGGGGUGGAGAUUCCUCCAACUUGGAACCACCCGACCCCCCCCCCCCCCCCCCCCAACACACACACACACACACACACACCACACACACUUUCUCCACUUAUCCAACGUGAAAAAUCCUCCAACACGGCAGUUUAUCCCACCAGAAGGAUUCCUCCAGCGUGGUGGAAAAAAUCAUCUAACACUGGGUUUUGUCCACGUGAAAAAUCCUCCAACGUGGCGUUUAUCCCACCAGAAGGAUUCCUCCAACGUGGUGGAGAUUCCUCCAACUUGGAAACUUGUGUUUGUGUGUGCUUUCACCUGCAAAUUAUUUCACCACCCUCACGUAGCUUGGACUAAAAACAAACAAAAAAAGAGAAAACUGGUUCUUACCUAUGAGUUGGGUGUUAGGGAGACGCUUGCGUGCCCGCGUUUCCUGCAUGCUUGCGUGCCUGACCCCCUGCUCAUU